UUUCUUGAUUAGUGGCGCACGGGUGAGUAAUGCAUAGAUAAUGUGCCCUUAGUUCGGGAUAGCCACUGGAAACGGUGAUUAAUACCGGAUACUCCUUCUUGUUAUAAGACAAGUCGGGAAAGUUUUUCGCUAAGGGAUCAGUCUAUGUUCCAUCAGCUUGUUGGUGAGGUAAUGGCUCACCAAGGCUAUGACGGAUAUCUGGUUUGAGAGUAUGAUCAGACACACUGGAACUGAGACACGGUCCAGACUCCUACGGGAGGCAGCAGUGAGGAAUAUUGCACAAUGGAGGAAACUCUGAUGCAGCAACGCCGCGUGGAGGAUGACGCAUUUCGGUGUGUAAACUCCUUUUAUUAGGGAAGAUAAUGACGGUACCUAAUGAAUAAGCACCGGCUAACUCCGUGCCAGCAGCCGCGGUAAUACGGAGGGUGCAAGCGUUACUCGGAAUCACUGGGCGUAAAGGGUGCGUAGGCUGGCUUUUAAGUCAGAUGUGAAAUCCAAUGGCUCAACCAUUGAACUGCAUUUGAAACUGAAAGCCUAGAGUUCAGAAGGGGCAGAUGGAAUUAGUGGUGUAGGGGUAAAAUCCGUAGAUAUCACUAGGAAUAUCAAAAGCGAAGGCGAUCUGCUGGGAUGAU
rnacentral:rRNA from 1 species